GCAGAACGCGAAGAACCUUACCAGGUCUUGACAUCCCUCUGAAUCCUCUAGAGAUAGAGGCGGCCUUCGGGACAGAGGAGACAGGUGGUGCAUGGUUGUCGUCAGCUCGUGUCGUGAGAUGUUGGGUUAAGUCCCGCAACGAGCGCAACCCUUGAUUUUAGUUGCCAGCACUUUAAGGUGGGCACUCUAGAAUGACUGCCGGUGACAAACCGGAGGAAGGCGGGGAUGACGUCAAAUCAUCAUGCCCCUUAUGACCUGGGCUACACACGUACUACAAUGGCCAGUACAACGGGAAGCGAAGUCGCGAGAUGGAGCCAAUCCUAUCAAAGCUGGUCUCAGCUCGGAUUGCAGGCUGCAACCCGCCUGCAUGAAGUCGGAAUUGCUAGUAAUCGCGGAUCAGCAUGCCGCGGUGAAUACGUUCCCGGGUC
rnacentral:rRNA from 1 species